CGCCAAAGCUCAUGAGGACCACGGCCAAGAGCACAACGAAAUAUAUCAUAUUCUUAACCAUUUUGCCCAUCAUAGUGACCAGAGGACCUUUAAAGCUGAUUACCUACCCAAAUACUUGUUGACGCCAAGAAUGUUCAAUAUGCGCAAAUACCAGUAGAUGCUGUCCACGCAGUAAAUGACACGCCCAAUGUCCAUCGUAUUGGGGCGAAAGCGAAAAGCCAGUCCGAUGAGGAAGAGUAUUAUGGCAGCGCCAUCGCACGGAUUCCACAUGUUCCACGCCCACACCGAGAAUUUAUGCCUGCAACAACAACAGCAACAACAACAACAAUGAGGCAAAUGAAGCCAGGCCGCAACAGAAUCGCAUUAAUGAAGGGCGCCACAGAAAUCGAAAGCCGUAAAUCAAGUGUGAAUAAACUCUGAAGGCAAUCGCACACACACGCACCGGAUAUAGAUAGAAAGAAGAAGCAGAAGACGAUGGCAAGUAAUCAAAAUGCACAGAGGCAUAAAGUAUGCGCAGCUCUCAUUUAUAAUCAUUAAAUUAAAUGCAAUUAAACACACUCAAGCACACAAACACACACACAUACACACACAUUGGCAUAAAUUCAAUUUGCGAAUUACUUUACUUACGUAAUGGCCACCGGCUCGGAGGAAACGAUUUCGCGCACCUUCUCAAAUCCCAAUGUCGUUAUAUAAGCUAUCGAAUACCAUUCCUGCCAGCGCGGUAUGGGGCCCAUUUUGACUAGCACCGUGAACGAGAACAUUAUCAGAAAGAACAUGUACGCAAUCUGCAAAUAUGGCCAGAAACAUAUUUAAUUACAUUAAAAAAAUAAAAGCAACUUGAAGUGCAGAAGUGCAUUCUAUGUUCGACUUAGGUAUACCCUGUA